rnacentral:rRNA from 1 species
GAUGAACGCUGGCGGCGUGCCUAACACAUGCAAGUCGAGCGAAGCGGGGACGGGUGAGUAACACGUGGAUAACCUCCUCUAAGACUGGGAUAACUUCGGGAAACGGGAGCUUAACCCGCUACUUAUAGAUGGAUCCGCUCUGCAUUAGCUAGUUGGUAAGCUAACGGCUUACCAAGGCAACGACGCGUAGCCGACAUGAGAGGGUGAUCGGCCACACUGGAACUGAGACACGGUCCAGACUCCUACGGGAGGCAGCAGUGGGGAAGCUUCGGCAAUGGGCGAAAGCCUGACGGAGCAACGCCGCGUGAGUGAUGAAGGUCUUCGGAUCGUAAAGUGCUGUUAGUAGGGAAGCGGUACCUAAUCAGAAAGCCACGGCUAACUACGUGCCAGCAGCCGCGGUAAUAC